UACGUAGGGUGCAAGCGUUAAUCGGAAUUACUGGGCGUAAAGCGUGCGCAGGCGGUUAUGCAAGACAGAUGUGAAAUCCCCCGGGCUUAACCUGGGAACCGCAUUUGUGACUGCAUAGCUGGAGUACGGCAGAGGGGGAUGGAAUUCCGCGUGUAGCAGUGAAAUGCGUAGAUAUCUGGAGGAACACCGGUGGCGAAGGCGGCAUCCUGGACCGGUAUUGACGCUGAGGCGG
rnacentral:rRNA from 1 species